rnacentral:rRNA from 1 species
CCAGACUCCUACGGGAGGCAGCAGUGGGGAAUAUUGCACAAUGGGGGAAACCCUGAUGCAGCGACGCCGCGUGAGUGAAGAAGUAUUUCGGUAUGUAAAGCUCUAUCAGCAGGGAAGAAAAUGACGGUACCUGACUAAGAAGCCCCGGCUAACUACGUGCCAGCAGCCGCGGUAAUACGUAGGGGGCAAGCGUUAUCCGGAUUUACUGGGUGUAAAGGGGGCGCAGACGGCAAUGCAAGCCAGGAGUGAAAGCCCGGGGCCCAACCCCGGGACUGCUCUUGGAACUGCAUGGCUGGAGUACAGGAGGGGCAGGCGGAAUUCCUAGUGUAGCGGUGAAAUGCGUAGAUAUUAGGAGGAACACCAGUGGCGAAGGCGACUUUCUGGACUGUACCUGACGCUGAGGCGCGAAAGCGUGGGUAGCGAACGGGAUUAGAUACCCUAGUA